rnacentral:rRNA from 1 species
GUGGGGAAUAUUGCACAAUGGGCGCAAGCCUGAUGCAGCGACGCCGCGUGCGGGAUGACGGCCUUCGGGUUGUAAACCGCUUUUGAUCGGGAGCAAGCCUUCGGGUGAGUGUACCUUUCGAAUAAGCACCGGCUAACUACGUGCCAGCAGCCGCGGUAAUACGUAGGGUGCAAGCGUUAUCCGGAAUUAUUGGGCGUAAAGGGCUCGUAGGCGGUUCGUCGCGUCCGGUGUGAAAGUCCAUCGCUUAACGGUGGAUCUGCGCCGGGUACGGGCGGGCUGGAGUGCGGUAGGGGAGACUGGAAUUCCCGGUGUAACGGUGGAAUGCGUAGAUAUCGGGAAGAACACCAAUGGCGAAGGCAGGUCUCUGGGCCGUUACUGACGCUGAGGAGCGAAAGCGUGGGGAGCGAACAGGAUUAGAAACCCCGGUAGUCC